CCUACGGGAGGCAGCAGUGAGGAAUAUUGGUCAAUGGACGAGAGUCUGAACCAGCCAAGUAGCGUGAAGGAUGACUGCCCUAUGGGUUGUAAACUUCUUUUAUAUGGGAAUAAAAUGUUCCACGUGUGGGAUUUUGUAUGUACCAUAUGAAUAAGGAUCGGCUAACUCCGUGCCAGCAGCCGCGGUAAUACGGAGGAUCCGAGCGUUAUCCGGAUUUAUUGGGUUUAAAGGGAGCGAAGGUGGAUUGUUAAGUCAGUUGUGAAAGUUCGCGGUUCAACCGUAAAAUUGCAGUUGAAACUGGCAGUCUUGAGUACAGGAGAGGUGGGCGGAAUGCGUGGUGUAGCGGUGAAAUGCUUAGAUAUCACGAAGAACUCCGAUUGCGAAGGCAGUUCACUGGACUGCAACUGACACUGAGGCUCGAAAGUGUGGGUAUCAAACAGGAUUAGAUACCCUAGUAGUC
rnacentral:rRNA from 1 species